rnacentral:rRNA from 1 species
AUAGCGUAUAUUAAAGUUGUUGCAGUUAAAAAGCUCGUAGUUGAAUUUUAGCCCUGGCUUAAUGGUCCGGCCUUUUGGUCGGUACUAUUCGGGCCGGGGUUCACCUUCUGGGGAGACGGCGUGCCGUUUAUUCGGUGCGUCGAGUUACCCAGGACUUUUACUUUGAAAAAAUUAGAGUGUUUAAAGCAGGCUUACGCUUGAAUACAUUAGCAUGGAAUAAUAAAAUAGGACUUUGGUUCUACUUUUGUUGGUUUGUUGAACCUGGUAAUGGUUAAUAGUGAUAGUUGGGGGCAUUAGUAUUUAAUUGUCAGAGGUGAAAUUCUUGGAUUUAUGAAAGACUAACUUCUG